rnacentral:rRNA from 1 species
UGGCGAACGGGUGAGUAACGCGUGGGUAACCUGCCUCAUACAGGGGGAUAACAGUUAGAAAUGACUGCUAAUACCGCAUAAGACCACGGUACCGCAUGGUACAGUGGUAAAAACUCCGGUGGUAUGAGAUGGACCCGCGUCUGAUUAGGUAGUUGGUGGGGUAACGGCCUACCAAGCCGACGAUCAGUAGCCGACCUGAGAGGGUGACCGGCCACAUUGGGACUGAGACACGGCCCAG